UGGCUUUCGAGGGACACUUUAGAUCCAAAC
rnacentral:piRNA from 1 species